rnacentral:lncRNA from 12 species
AUGAACUAAUACAUGUCAAGUGUGAAGUACUUACGCCAACAGCAAUACGUAUCACCAGCCCUAUAAUUUGUGAACACUUAGGUUAUAUGAUUUAAUAGUCAUUGUGUGUCCCCUUCUACUUCGGAUUAGCUAACAACAGACGAAUCAGACCUGCAGCACUAAGAAUGAGCCAAGACUCAUCGUAGGACAUCCCAAGAGUCUUUCCUCCCCUGCCGAAGUGGUAAACACAUGGUUUAGGAAGUAGGGAAAGAAGCCAAGGACAGCUACCUUUGGAACUUGCAGGUCUUGCACUUCAUGCAGCCAGCCCUAAACCUUCCCCUCCCUCCAUCAUGACUUAAGAUGGUGUGAUCAAGAUAAGGCAGAUAGGGUUAAAAUUCAGAUGCUCCUUAAUAGAGAUUGACAAAAAAUGAAGAUAAACUUCGUCUGGACUCGAUGAAGGGGCCUUCCUUGAACUGGAGAUGGCCAGACGUGGCAAUAGAGCAGACCCAGGAUUACGCAGAGGUGAUGGGAUCAUUUCUGAGGGUAGUUAGAUGAGCCAGACAUAGCCAGGCCUGGUUGCUGGAGAGGAUAAUGUUUCCUCCGGGGAAGAACACGAGGUAAUAAAUGGCUUUUGCAGCAAUUAAACGCGAGAGCG